rnacentral:rRNA from 1 species
UGUAAGCGUAUACCAAAGUUGUUGCAGUUAAUACGCUCGUAGUCGGAAUUUGGCAGUUCCGGAUGUGUGCACGUCGUGUGCGCACUUCGCGGGGAUUGCUUUUGUGGUCUUGCGUAGGAUGAGGCACUUUUAUUAGUGAACGUCCUCACGCAACCACUUUUUACUGUGAGAAAAUCAGAGUGCUCAAAGCAGGCAUUUGCCGUGAAUGUAUUAGCAUGGAAUAAUAGAAUAGGACUUGGUUCUAUUUUGUUGGUUUGUUGGGACUGAGUAAUGAUUAAGAGGGACAGUUGGGGGCAUUUGUAUUUCGGUGCUAGAGGUGAAAUUCUUAGAUUACCGAAAGACAAACUGCUGCGAAAGCGUCUGCCAAGGAUGUUUUCAUUGA